UUUGGUGUGUUUUUAUUUAAUUUUUUUGCAGAUUCUUCCAUGUAAAUAAAUGAGAGAUAACAAAAAAUAUUAACUUCCCAAGAUAACUAUUGUGGGUAAAGCUAAGACGAUGUGGUCGGGAUUUCAAAUAUCAAGAGACUGAAUAAUAGCUAUAGGAGUUUGUUUUGGAAAAUCUAUGUAAGGUGAUUGGCAUAAACAUAGGAGAUUCAUCUACUUUAAAGUUCAGAAAUCAAGAUGAAGACACAACUCCGGUGUUUA
rnacentral:lncRNA from 1 species